rnacentral:rRNA from 1 species
UAAUACGUAGGGAGCAAGCGUUGUUCGGAAUUAUUGGGCGUAAAGAGCGCGUAGGCGGCUUGGCAAGUCUGGUGUGAAAUCUCACAGCUCAACUGUGAAACUGCAUCAGAAACUGCUUGGCUAGAGUGCGGGAGAGGAGAGUGGAAUUCCCAGUGUAGAGGUGAAAUUCGUAGAUACUGGGAGGAACACCGGUGGCGAAGGCGGCUCUCUGGACCGCAACUGACGCUGAGGCGCGAAAGCUAGGGGAGCAAACGGGAUUAGAUACCCCGGUAGUCCUAGCCGUAAACGAUGGGCACUAGGUGUGGGGGGAAUUGACCCCUUCCGUGCCGCAGCUAACGCAUUAAGUGCCCCGCCUGGGGAGUACGGUCGCAAGACUA